AUUUGUCUCUGGGGUUACCUUCACAGAAUGGCUCCUGAAGGCAGGCAGGGAAAUCCUGGCACAACUCUUACUUCAGCCGGAGCACCUCCUGGUCUAGCUCUUUAAUACAUUGAGGUGCAAAUGAGAUUUCACUUAGAAAUAGUUCCAUUGUAAAAAUUAAAUAAGACAGAAGACGACUCUGAAAACUGGGCAGAAGGUGGCAGACUGGAUAGGGAACUGUGCCCUGAAUGAUGACAUGGCUAUGAGUUUCCUGGGUUGUCUUUUAUUUUGCAUCAGACAACUCAGACUAAGUGCUGGUGAAGCCAGCUAACUGGAAAUACCGAAAGGCACAAACAAGCCAAGCAACAUCAAAAGACUUUCUCCAGUCAAAGCAGUGUUCAGGCAAAACCAGAAAAUGUUUAGCCAAUAAUGGCACUCCUGCAGCCACUCUGACUCCUCACUUCCAUGUUGUAACAAGGAGUGCCAGCCUCCCCCAACCCACCAGGGUGCUGUCUGAGAAGGCCAAGUGAGGAACUGAAACUUUUAUCCCUGCUGGGCAGUAACAAGCUCCAAUCCCUAUCAGUAUCAGAGUAAAUCAUAUGGGGGAACCUGGACUUCCACCCAAACCCAGUAAGGAGGCACACCUUCUCUCCCU
rnacentral:lncRNA from 1 species